CUGGAAGUGGCCCAGCAGGCGGUAGAUGCGGAUGUGCAUUGCGUGGGGGUGAGCACAUUGGCUGCUGGCCACAAAACGCUUGUUCCUGAACUCCUCAAAGAGCUGCAUGCCCUUGGCCGCCCAGACAUUCUCGUCAUGUGUGGAGGAGUCAUCCCUCCUCAGGAUUAUGACUUCUUGUAUGACUCUGGUGUUUCCAAUAUAUUUGGCCCUGGAACCCGAAUCCCAAAGGCAGCUAUCCAAGUUCUUGAAGAUAUUGAGAAAUGCUUGGAUAAGAGGCAGCAAUCUGUGUAAACUUCUGUCUCAUAACAAACUUUGUAUCUCAUGGUGAAUUUUAUAGUUUGUGUUGAUGCAUUGUGAUCUGUUGAUAAAAAGAAGGAAUUUUUGCGAAAUCA